rnacentral:rRNA from 1 species
AUGAACGCUAGCGACAGGCUUAACACAUGCAAGUCGAGGGGCAGCACAGGUAGCAAUACCGGGUGGCGACCGGCGCACGGGUGAGUAACGCGUAUGCAACUUGCCUAUCAGAGGGGGAUAACCCGGCGAAAGUCGGACUAAUACCGCAUGAAGCAGGGAUCCCGCAUGGGAAUAUUUGCUAAAGAUUCAUCGCUGAUAGAUAGGCAUGCGUUCCAUUAGGCAGUUGGCGGGGUAACGGCCCACCAAACCGACGAUGGAUAGGGGUUCUGAGAGGAAGGUCCCCCACAUUGGUACUGAGACACGGACCAAACUCCUACGGGAGGCAGCAGUGAGGAAUAUUGGUCAAUGGCCGAGAGGCUGAACCAGCCAAGUCGCGUGAGGGAUGAAGGUUCUAUGGAUCGUAAACCUCUUUUAUAAGGGAAUAAAGUGCGGGACGUGUCCCGUUUUGUAUGUACCUUAUGAAUAAGGAUCGGCUAACUCCGUGCCAGCAGCCGCGGUAAUACGGAGGAUCCGAGCGUUAUCCGGAUUUAUUGGGUUUAAAGGGUGCGUAGGCGGCCUUUUAAGUCAGCGGUGAAAGUCUGUGGCUCAACCAUAGAAUUGCCGUUGAAACUGGGGGGCUUGAGUAUGUUUGAGGCAGGCGGAAUGCGUGGUGUAGCGGUGAAAUGCUUAGAUAUCACGCAGAACCCCGAUUGCGAAGGCAGCCUGCCAAGCCAUGACUGACGCUGAUGCACGAAAGCGUGGGGAUCAAACAGGAUUAGAUACCCUGGUAGUCCACGCAGUAAACGAUGAUCACUAGCUGUUUGCGAUACACUGUAAGCGGCACAGCGAAAGCGUUAAGUGAUCCACCUGGGGAGUACGCCGGCCACCCUGAAACUAAAAGCACUUGACGGGGGCCCGCACAAGCGGUGGAGCAUGUGGUUUAAUUCGAUGCAACGCGAAGAACCUUACCUGCUCUUGACAUCUCCCUGACCGGCAAGUAAUGUUGCCUUUCCUUCGGGACAGGGAUGACAGGUGGUGCAUGGUUGUCGUCAGCUCGUGUCGUGAGAUGUUGGGUUAAGUCCCGCAACGAGCGCAACCCUUAUUGCCAGUUACUACGCAAGAGGACUCUGGCGAGACUGCCGUUGACAAAACGGAGGAAGGUGGGGAUGACGUCAAAUCAGCACGGCCCUUACAUCCGGGGCGACACACGUGUUACAAUGGCGUGGACAAAGGGAAGCCACCUGGCGACAGGGAGCGAAUCCCCAAACCACGUCUCAGUUCGGAUCGGAGUCUGCAACCCGACUCCGUGAAGCUGGAUUCGCUAGUAAUCGCGCAUCAGCCAUGGCGCGGUGAAUACGUUCCCGGGCCUUGUACACACCGCCCGUCAAGCCAUGGGAGCCGGGGGUACCUGAAGUCCGUAACCGCGAGGAUCGGCCUAGGGUAAAACUGGUGACUGGGGCU